rnacentral:rRNA from 1 species
UACAGAGGGGGCAAGCGUUGUUCGGAAUUACUGGGCGUAAAGGGCGCGUAGGCGGCCUUCUAAGUCGAACGUGAAAUCCCCGGGCUCAACCCGGGAACUGCGUCCGAUACUGGAAGGCUUGAAUCCGGGAGAGGGAUGCGGAAUUCCAGGUGUAGCGGUGAAAUGCGUAGAUAUCUGGAGGAACACCGGUGGCGAAGGCGGCAUCCUGGGACCGACACUGACGCUGAGGCGCGAAAGCGUGGGGAGCAAACAGG